CGCUGCGGCAGGCUUAAUACAUGCAAGUCGAACGGUAACAGUCCCGGCAACGGGAGCUGACGAGUGGCGCACGGGUGCGUAACACGUAUGCAACCUACCCUUUACCGGGGAAUAACCCUGAGAAAUCGGGGCUAAUACCCCAUAGUAUUGCGACAAGGCAUCUUGUUUUGAUUAAAGAUUUAUCGGUAAGGGAUGGGCAUGCGCCCCAUUAGUUAGUUGGUGAGGUAACGGCUCACCAAGGCGAUGAUGGGUAGGGGUUCUGAGAGGAUUAUCCCCCACACUGGUACUGAGACACGGACCAGACUCCUACGGGAGGCAGCAGUAAGGAAUAUUGGGCAAUGGAGGCAACUCUGACCCAGCCAUGCCGCGUGCAGGAAGACUGCCCUAUGGGUUGUAAACUGCUUUUCUGCGGGAUUAAUAUCAUCCACGAGUUGGGUGGAUGCAUGUACCGUAUGAAUAAGCAUCGGCUAACUCCGUGCCAGCAGCCGCGGUAAUACGGAGGAUGCGAGCGUUAUCCGGAAUUAUUGGGUUUAAAGGGUGCGUAGGCUGACAAGUAAGUCAGUGGUGAAAUAUUCCGGCUCAACCGGGAGGCUGCCAUUGAUACUGUUUGUCUGGAGUGUAUUGGAAGUGAGCGGAAACGAGGGGUGUAGCGGUGAAAUGCAUAGAUAUUCCUCAGAACACCGAUAGCGAAGGCAGCUCACUACGAUAUAACUGACGCUGAGGCACGAAAGCGUGGGG
rnacentral:rRNA from 1 species